rnacentral:rRNA from 1 species
UACGGAGGAUCCAAGCGUUAUCCGGAUUUAUUGGGUUUAAAGGGUGCGUAGGCGGCCAGUUAAGUCAGGGGUGACAGACGGUAGCUCAACUAUCGCAGUGCCUUUGAUACUGAUUGGCUUGAAUGUACUUGAGGGAGGCGGAAUGUGACAAGUAGAGGUGAAAUGCAUAGAUAUGUCACAGAACACCAAUUGCGAAGGCAGCUUACUAAAGUAGGAUUGACGCUGAGGCACGAAAGCGUGGGGAUCAAACAGG